GACGAACGCUGGCGGCGUGCUUAACACAUGCAAGUCGAACGGAAAGGCCUUUUCGGCGGUACUCGAGUGGCGAACGGGUGAGUAACACGUGGGUGAUCUGCCCUGCACUCUGGGAUAAGCCUGGGAAACUGGGUCUAAUACCGGAUAGGACCGCACUUUAGUGUGUGUGGUGGAAAGUUUUUUCGGUGUAGGAUGAGCCCGCGGCCUAUCAGCUUGUUGGUGGGGUAAUGGCCUACCAAGGCGGCGACGGGUAGCCGGACUGAGAGGUUGGUCGGCCACAUUGGGACUGAGAUACGGCCCAGACGCCUACGGGAGGCAGCAGUGGGGAAUAUUGCACAAUGGGCGCAAGCCUGAUGCAGCGACGCCGCGGGGGGGAUGACGGCCUUCGGGUUGUAAACUCCUUUCGCCAGGGACGAAGCGUUUUGUGAUGGUACCUGGAGAAGAAGCACCGGCUAACUACGUG
rnacentral:rRNA from 1 species